CCGCGUGGGUCAAAGGGCCAGCGCAUGCCUUUUAUGGGUUGUCGCCAGCCAUAGUCGGACAUGAGGCAAUAAAAGCUUGGCCCACCAACCACAUGGCUCCUACCGCCCUGUCAGCGUAGAGGUGAAUGGAGCGUAGGGGCGGCAGAGUUGGUGGGGUCUGCCGAGUGCUUCUGGCGUAGCAGUUCGGCAGUGCCGAGCUGUUUGAAGUCAUCACAGAUAUAAACUGCCUGUUGCAGCAACUCACAAUCGCAUUCCUGCCCGUCAUGUCGAACAGCGGAGCGCUAAUUUCAGUUUGAGGUCUGCACUCUUACUACAAUGCAAAUGGUGACAGCAUCAGGCUGCACUCGGCUGACCCAUAAAUUUGCCCCUGCUCUGCAUUGCCCUGCAUGUUCGGGUCAGAUAAUGGUUCCUGUUGACCCGAUGGACUCCUUUGUUCUCUGCAUUCAUCAUAGGUUACAGUCGUGAAUCAUGAACCAAGACUGCACUCUUAGGCCCACUCCUUUUUGGUGGAUCGGGUCUUGCCAUCUUCACCUUUCGUGGCUUCCUGUCGUAAUUAAAUAAAUUGUCAUAUUUUUUUCUGAUGGUGGUGCAUACCUCAUGCCACACUUGACAAAAAUAGUGUGGUGAAUCCAUGCCUCGGAUUACUGUGAAACAUGCGAGAAGGUAAUUAUUGAGAAGAUUAAACUCCGAAAUGUUUGAUGGAAAGACGAUAGAUAUACCCCGUUUAAUAUUUCUGGCCACUUUAAGCAUGCUGUCCCCGAAGUAUUUCAGCCUAUCAUUGCAUCGGCUCUUGACCAUUCACACUUGCAAGG